rnacentral:piRNA from 1 species
UAUCAGGGUUAGCAAGUGCCAGCAGC